GCCGGGGUGGCAGAGCGGCUAAAUGCGCGGGUCUUGAAAACCCGUGGACGCGAGUCCUCCUGGGUUCAAAGUGCUGCGGGGAAUACCCCCGUUGUAUGAAAGUCCCAGCCCCGGCG
rnacentral:tRNA from 1 species